rnacentral:rRNA from 1 species
AGCGGCGGACGGGUGAGUAACACGUAGGAAUCUGCCCGGUAGAGGGGGAUAGCCCGGAGAAAUCCGGAUUAAUACCGCAUACACCUUACGAGGAAAAGCAGGGGAUCUUCGGACCUUGCGCUAUCGGAUGAGCCUGCGUCGGAUUAGCUAGUUGGUGGGGUAAAGGCCCACCAAGGCGACGAUCCGUAGCUGGUCUGAGAGGAUGAUCAGCCGCAUCGGGACUGAGACACGGCCCGAACUCCUACGGGAGGCAGCAGUGGGGAAUAUUGCACAAUGGGGGAAACCCUGAUGCAGCUAUGCCGCGUGUGUGAAGAAGGCCUUAGGGUUGUAAAGCACUUUCAGCGAGGAGGAAAGGGUGCAGGUUAAUACCCUGUAUCUGUGACGUUACUCGCAGAAGAAGCACCGGCUAACUCCGUGCCAGCAGCCGCGGUAAUACGGAGGGUGCAAGCGUUAAUCGGAAUUACUGGGCGUAAAGCGUGCGUAGGCGGCUAUCUAAGUGGGAUGUGAAAGCCCCGGGCUCAACCUGGGAACUGCAUCCCAAACUGGGUAGCUAGAGUAUGGCAGAGGAGUGUGGAAUUUCCUGUGUAGCGGUGAAAUGCGUAGAUAUAGGAAAGAACACCAGUGGCGAAGGCGACACUCUGGGCUGAUACUGA